UCUCUCUCUCUCUUUCUCUCUCGCGUUUCCAUUUCAACAACAAAACAUUCGAAUCAAAUCUCUACACAAUCUCUCGCUCAUUCUCAAUCCUCAAACGCAUCGAUUCAACAAUCAAGAGCAAAGAAGAAAUGAACCCUUAACCCAUAAAAUCCCAUACCCCAUAUUUGAUAUUCAUGAUACAUACAUGGUGAAAAAAAGAAGAUGCAACAAUAACAAAAGAUAAAAAUGAAUUUGAAAAGGGUCAGUAUUCUAUAGAUAUGGUGUAAUGGAGAAAACUCAAGAUUCUGGCCUGUCGAUGACAACAGAAAGCUCAAAAUUCAGGCCUGUCGAUGACAACAGAAAGCUCAAGAAAGAUAUUUGUUGCUGGGUGUUUGUCUAAGAUAAAUAGUUACAUGGGAAAUUUAUGGCUUAUAAUUAUUUCUUCCAUGAAUAACUUAAAUUUUUAUUUUGUUAGGCAUUGAAGAGUUCUACAGCUAUUGUGUUUCUCGAUGGUCUUGGUUGUUGUCUGGCGGUGAAGCGGUGAAAACCAUAGUGAGUUGUACAGUGGUUCGGAGUGACUUAAUCUUCUUCCUUUUUGAUCAAAAUCUUUUAUUAUUAUCUUUGAAUAGAGCUUAUGAUAUGCAGGUUGUGUUUGUGAGUGAUAUUCCAUCGUCACUAAAUUGCAGAUAUGACUGCAAAAUCAGAUUUUAUCUCAUCCAUAGCAGUCUUUGAUAUAUGGUCAUUUUUAUGUUUAUUUCCUUUAGUUUACUGAAUUAUAUCAUACUCAUUGAUAAAUUCCACACCACUUAUAAUUUGGAUUGAUUUUGAUCUUCAUGCUUUUUAAUUCAAACUGCUGGCUAUUUGAUUAUGUCAUUCUCUAUUGUAAUUUGAAGAAUGCAUUAAUUAGUUAGUUUCUUUGUUACAUAGAUAGUGAAACCAACUUUGUUUCGGAAGAGACAGAAAACAUAAUUGUGGAUUCAGCAAAGAAGAGACUCAAUGAGCCUGGUAACAAACAACUGGUUCUCCAUACUUUUAGUGUGCAUAUUUAGCCGGUCCAAUAUGGGAACCAUUUUCUUCAUGUUGUGCUUGGUUUGAAACCAUGGGCCUUAUUGAUGGGAUUGAGACUCGGCUUCAAAGCAAAACAUGAAGAGACAAAGGUAAACCAUAUAGAGAUAAGGCUAUCAACUGGAUGAAAAUAGAGAAAUGGUUGCAUUAGGAACGAUGAAUGUUUUUGGUUCGAUGACUUCCAGUUAUGUAGCAACUGGUUCUUUCUCUCAGUCGACGGUAAAUUACAUGGUUGGCUGCCAAACUACGGUAUCUGAAAUUGUGAUGCCUCUGUUAUGUAGCAACAGGGUGCUAAGGUUGCUUUUAGUAGAGAGAAUAACAUGCGCCGAGAAAAUUCGAAGGGGAGUUUUAUCAUUUAGUCAAAUGGGUAGUGUUGGGGAGUGCGAGAGAGAGGAAUCGGUAUCUCACAUUUUCUUUGAGUGUCCAAAAUUUGUAGGUGCGUGGAGUCUCAUUUGCAAAUGGAUAGGAAUUUAUACAAAUAUGCACAGCGAGGGAUGGCUAAGAUUAAAAUCUAAUUAUAUUGAUCAUGAUAUUGUCGCGUUAUGCAAGAAACCUAAGGCGUGUUUCGGCAUUAUCGAUGAUUGAGAUUCUUGGGUGUAUGUAGAGUUGGAGUGGUUUCUGUUACUGUGUGAGGCGCCCAAGGCUUCAGUCGUCGGUUUUAUUUAUCAGUUUUGGCUUCUAGCAAGGCAAUUUUGGGGCAGUGUGGUGUUCGUCGUCACUCCGCAUUGAAUGUUUUCAAUUAGAGAGUCGCUUGAAGGUAGUGUCUUUUUGGCUGAGAUUUUGAAUGUGACAUAGGUGAAAUUUGGUGCAUGUUAAGACUUAAGAUUUUGGCCUGAGGCUGUUCCUGGCUGAUAUCCACAGCAUAUUAGCUCUGCUGAAUAGUCCUUAUUUCAAUUUCUGUUUGUUGUGUUUUGGAGCUGAAAUGCCUCAAUUUAAUAGCUCUUCUUAAUUGGUUUGUUAUCAGCUGUUGUGUUAUUGCUUUAUAGGGAUUUGAAUUGUGUUGCUACUUGGCUAUUGUUGUACCAGAAACGUUAAAAUGUAUUGGUCCUAUUUGGCAUUUCUUA